rnacentral:tRNA from 1 species
UGCCCGGUAGCCAAGCGGUAAGGCAGCGGCCUUUGAAGCCGCCAUUCGUUGGUUCGAAUCCAACCCGGGCAGCCA